UCGAAGAAAACAUACACUGUUGUAUGUUGUUAAAUUAACAACCUGGAAAAUUCGCAGGAGGUUCUUGAUAAAAUUCAUACAGUGAGGACUGGUGGAUGUCCUGAUCCAGCAUUUAUACAGAACAUUGCAACAGAAACCAAUGGACGGGCCGUUUAUAGUGCGCAACUCUUCUCUCUAUACCUGUAAACGCAAGAUAGCGGAAGCGCCCAAAUUGUUGCCACCAACUAUCACAGAAGAAUAAAGAUUGCUUGGAUCUUUGGGUUAUUGAUGAGCACUUCCACGAGAAGAUCGAAACAACUGCUGCCAGUACGACCACCUGAUUUAAAGAACUGAAGAGAAACCCAAAGCGGAACUAAAAGCCCAAACAGCUGAUCGCCCAACGUACUACCUAAGAACACCAUUCACCAACUUAAGGUUGCCCGCCUAAAACACAUCCUGCUGGAAAGUUGAAUUGCCUGGGAACAAGUUGACGUCGUUGGUGUCUACGCAGCCGAAGCAACUGGAAGCCCUAUGGACCUAUUUCAUAUCCCCAAAGACGAUGAAACAUCUUAAGUUGUUAAGAUGAAAGUCGGUUCCGCUUCGGGACCCGCCUAGCCUGGGCUAGUUGCCCUAGGCUCCAGCCCAUGAUAACCGCCCAAUCAGCUUAAGCGCAGGCCCAAGACCACCCUGCUGCAUCCGGUGACGGAACAAGAACAAAGCUACUUUAUUGUUAAAAGAACUGAAACUGUCAGUUUCAGCUCAGCUCUUAAACUCUUGCACCUGCUUGAUCAGCUUCCCCGUUUGGAACGAGCGAUGCAUCGACCAUCUGGCCAACAGCAACAGACUGCACCAAAAUGUUAGUGAUACAGAUACCGCGAGAUCUGAAGACCGUGGUGCAGAAUCUUUGGUGGUUCUCUCACUCAAUAACUAGCUGUUAUUCAAGAGCAGCCCAGGAGCAGAUGCUGACUCGUGGUCAUCAGCCACGAAGCAGUAACUAACCAAUCAAGUUAACGGUUUGGACCUCAGUGGCUUGUGCAUCUGCUACAGCUUCCACGACGGCUCGUGCCACCACCAAUGUCGCUCUGACUUCUACGUUGUCAGCAGUAGAACGCCGGGGAUUAUCAGAUCACCAAGAUCCCAUGGAGUUGCUCAACCAACCAACAGGUUGAGAACAAGAUUACAGAGAGACGCUACUAACGACUUGUGGAGUUUAUUAGAGACAUCACCAAGAUAUCACCAUUCAUUCAACAGAAGUUGUAUAUGCAGUGUUGAACAGUUGGGUUAAAUAGUCAAUGUUGCCUGAUGGCUGUCGGUCUUGUUUUAUCGGCUUGACAUGUCGUCUCUUGCUACCUGUACCGGCGUUGAGUUUAAUCGUUUGCUGCCGUUCCAUAGACUCGAUCCAUUGGCAAAACUGAGGAGAGGUUGCUGAAAUUCAAGACUCGUCAAUAAAUUAUGUAGAUGUAGACAAAUUACAAGUGCAUAUCUGGGCUCCCUUCUUCAGUGGCCCCGUUUCCCUAAAUAACCACUAACCAACGCCCGCCGGUGGUCACUCACUCGCUGCCGAAAGCCUACUAUGAUGCAUUGCUCUCUUAAAAACUGUUCCUCGUCUCUCUUUGCUCUUUUUCCGGUUUCUCUUAACCAUGGCCGGGUAAUCUCCCUGGUAAAGUCAGUCGGGCAGUGUCUCCCCCUGCUUGACUGGCUGCAGUUUGAACCGGACGGUCUGUUAAAAUAAGAAUUUAAAUCGAGAACAACGCCUCCUUUGAGCGGCCCGGACAAUCCUGAAACCUUUAGGGUUGCCAUUUCGUCGAGGCUUAAACGAGGAUGACGCGGAGGUGUUUCCUAUUGAGGGGUUUUGGUGACCAGGAGUCACUGAACGAAACGCUAAACCAAAUGAAAAAAAAAAACAUUAAAAAAGCCAACGAUCCUUUACUAUAUCCGAGCCGAGUCCUUUCCGUCUACGUUCGGUGUGAAGAGCAAAACCCGAAUUUCAACACAUUUUACUGCUUAGCAAUGAAAACAAAGCGAGUGUCAAAACAUUGUUUUAUUUGCGCAUACUUUAUUGUGGCAGAAACGCGUUGGUCAUGUAACAGGGUGAAAUUUUUUUCCCUUUUGUUCAUACAGCAUCAAACGACACGCGAUAGUUCUGGCGGUAAUCAACUAUUCAAGAUGGUAGACCUGUCAAUGUAAAAGACAGGAUUUUCUUCUCCGACUGCAGGUGCAAGGAUUAUGUGUUUGAAACUUAGAAAAGUUUGCAGUAGAAUAUU